UACAGAGGUCCCGAGCGUUGUUCGGAUUCACUGGGCGUAAAGGGUGCGCAGGUGGCAAGGCAAGUCGGAUGUGAAAGCUCCGGGCUCAACCCGGAAAUGGCAUUGGAAACUGCUUUGCUUGAGGUUUGGAGGGGGGACUGGAAUUCUCGGUGUAGCAGUGAAAUGCGUAGAUAUCGAGAGGAACACCAGUGGCGAAGGCGAGUCCCUGGACAACACCUGACACUGAGGCACGAAAGCCGGGGGAGCAAACAGC
rnacentral:rRNA from 1 species